UGCCCAGCAACUCCUCUCCCUAUCUCCUUGCGGUACUGGCCGGGGUACGAGUAACCUUAGGGAAGAUUGGGUAACCAACCCUGGUGGGAAUUUUGGUCGUAUGCUCACAGGAAAGG
rnacentral:ribozyme from 1 species